AGUGAACGCUGGCGGUAGGCCUAACACAUGCAAGUCGAACGGCAGCACAGUAAGAGCUUGCUCUUACGGGUGGCGAGUGGCGGACGGGUGAGGAAUACAUCGGAAUCUACUUUUUCGUGGGGGAUAACGUAGGGAAACUUACGCUAAUACCGCAUACGACCUACGGGUGAAAGCAGGGGAUCUUCGGACCUUGCGCGAUUGAAUGAGCCGAUGUCGGAUUAGCUAGUUGGCGGGGUAAAGGCCCACCAAGGCGACGAUCCGUAGCUGGUCUGAGAGGAUGAUCAGCCACACUGGAACUGAGACACGGUCCAGACUCCUACGGGAGGCAGCAGUGGGGUAUAUUGGACAAUGGGCGCAAGCCUGAUCCAGCCAUACCGCGUGGGUGAAGAAGGCCUUCGGGUUGUAAAACCCUUUUGUUGGGAAAGAAAAGCAGCAGGUUAAUACCCCGCUGUUCUGACGGUACCCAAAGAAUAAGCACCGGCUAACUUCGUG
rnacentral:rRNA from 1 species